CGAGUAAAAUGGCAAACUUGUUGAAAAGCAAGGACGCAAAGCUAUAGGGGCUAAUGUUAUACAAUGCCAGCCAGCUGCCUAU
rnacentral:ncRNA from 1 species